rnacentral:lncRNA from 10 species
GGUCCCUUGCUUUCAAAAGGAUUCGCUCCAGGGUUCCUUUGAACUGAGAGCUGCCCAGCUGUAUGUUAAAUGAGCCCAUUUACAGUACAAGGGCUCAAUUUACAUAGAAAUGCCCAGAAACAGAGCUGUCACACAAAGUGAAAGGCAUCUGCACUGUACUUUGUGUUAGCAGGAAGAUUUAAAUAUAUAGAAAAUACCAGGCGGGAGAACAUCUAUCUAUGGUUGAGCUUGAAUCCACCUCCAGCCCUCUGUUAGCUCACAAAUCAGGAGGCGGAAAUGAUUCUCCAGGUUCUUCUGGUUCCUUCUCUUGCUCCCAGUUGCCGAGGUAUUGAUCCUGCUAUUAAAGUUGUCGGAAAUUUCCACAGCUUCCCACAGAAGUCCCCAUUCUCCUCCUCAUCAGCACAUUCCGCAUGUGACCCAAAGUGUAGCAGGUGCCUGAAGCUGAUUAAAGAAAAGACAGUCUCCCGCUUCAUGGACUUUAAAUUCCCCUGAUGAAAAGGGAAUGCACAUGUGCCUUCUCAAGCCACCAAUAACAGCUGAAAAACGACAGAAAACCUACUCAUCUUUCAAAAUCCAGCUCAAGAAAAAUGUUCCCAAACUGAUGGUAUAUAGUGAGGAGAAAUUUGGACACAGACACAGACAUGGGGGAAUGCCAUCUACAAGCCAAGAAACACCUAAGACUGCCAGAAGCUGAGAGAGAGAACUGGAACAGAUUCUCCCUCAUGGGCCUCAGGAAGGUCCUCCCUCAGGCCCUCUUGCCGGCACUUUGAAUUCAAACCUGUCGCCUUCAGAACUGGGAGACAAUAAAUGUCUUGUUUAAGCCAGACAGUGUGUGAUACUUUGUUACAGCAACCCCAGAAAACAAAU